rnacentral:lncRNA from 1 species
CCCCAUCGAAGUGUUUUAUUAGGCGAAUUAAACAGCUUAAAGACGAUUCUCUUGUUCGGUACCCUUCUAGAAAAUAUUUCAAGUUUUAAAUGAACUUCCGAUACAUAAAACAAAAUUUACUUUACCAUAGACAAAUUUCAGAUCAAAAUACAACACUCUGUUUCUGUUUUCUUACAGUUAUAAAAGCCCGUCGAUACAAACUACAUAAAAAAGAUAAAACACUUUCACUGAUCCUUGGUACAAGAGAACAGCACAAUUGCAGUAUGUCCCCAAAGCACAAACCCUGUGCUCGUGAAACGGGAUCAACCCCACGGUUACCCCACAAUCAAAUGAAGCAGGUAAACAAAGCACGUGCUACUUAAUUCAAGAAGUUAACACACCCUCUUUGCAUCAGUAUUAUUUGUAAACCAUAAAGCGACUUGGUAAGAAAGGUUACUAAGUCCAAAUUACUUCAGCAUCACGAAAAUGUCAUACCGGCAACGGAAUAGAAAAUUACUUCUGCAGAACAAACGAAUCCACUUGGACCAGAGGAUGCUGGAGACAGGACAUUUCAAUGAAAGCACAUCACCGCAAUUUACUUCUCUGCUAUCCUACUGAAUGCGGGGAGUCUAAUUCUACAGGUUGCAACUUCCCAGUGCUUCAAAGAGUUUAAACUUUCUACAUCAUGUCUUCUGUCUAGCUUAUGUAUAUAGCGCAUUGCAAAGCUCCGGUUUUCUCAGCAGCAGGUCUUUCUUUAAAAAUCUGGAUCCCUCAGUGCACACAACAUAACCUCAUCUGGGUACACGUCAACGUAGACUCCUCAACUUGGACCCUUACCAGAUAAUAAGAGCUGCAGGGUUUAAAUUAAAAAACUAUUCUAUAGGCACGCCACGUCAGAAACUAAGAGAUACACUAACUAAGCAAAGAUCUGUGUUUAAGAGGAUGAAUUCUGAUACGGAACUUCGGGAAGUCGGUACUCAAGGACGCCAUGGUAUUAAAAGCAUCAAAAAGACAGAAUCGAGAGUGUGCUACAACCUGACCAGGGUGACCGUCACGUACAGCGGCUGGUCCCAUGCAGACAACCCGUCAACGGGAGGGUUGCUGGUGGUUCUGCUGGACCAGAGCCCGCUGUGAAGGUGAGCCCUGAACUUGGGAGGGUCAAGCUGAAUUUACAGUCCUGUUUUAAGGAGUUCUCUUGGUCGUCUUCUCUCGGAGCAGAAGACGGCCCUGGUGAUAGAAAACGUUUAGAAUGAGUGAUGGAUGGACCUGGUUCACAGACAGGGACACGCAUCUCUGUCACCAGGAACGCACAGUGAGAAAGCGAAGUCUGCCAGAGCCUGCUUGAGGGGCUCCUAAAAGCCAGUGUCUGAGGAGCGGGGAGUGAAGGGGUGGGGUAGGGAGGGGCUCUUGUUUAAUCCACGGAUCCCUCCCAGCUCCGCUGCUGCAACUGCAGAAUGGGCUCUAACGGGUGUUCCAAAGUUCUGCCGAAAGCAUGGUUAUUUUUCAUGGUCGUCACAAUGCACAAAUGGUACGAUUCAGAGUGGAACAAGUGUCACGACGUCACUAGCGACGUGAAGGGGGACAGGAAGGAGGAACCACACAAAAGCUGGGUUAUAGGUGAGUCAAAAUGAGAGAAUCCCAUCAGCAGACAACGCCACUGACGCUCAAUUAAUUAGGGGAGCAUUGCUAACCGGCCCGCACUUUUCUCAUCCAGAGGCCACUUAAUACACUUCCCACCCUAAGGUAUCUCCUCGUGGAAUCUGGUGAUCUCCGAUGUCAUGCGCAACUAUCACAUGCAGGUUCCCCUACAGGAAAACGAUGCUGUAAACUCACCAACAUUGGAGGCUUAUUUUUAAGGUGAUGACACCCUUUGGCCCCACGUACCAGAUCCUACGUAAUUUUUUACAAAAAGCAUAAAGAGUCAAAUUCAACGAGCGAAUGCAGAGAUGACAAGAGUACACUUAUUUUCUGGAGUUUCUUCUGAAGCAAAAAAAUCCUUUUGAAAAAAAAGCCAUGAGAAGAUGCUUCUCUUCUCGUACACAAGCAAUUCUGGUGUCUGAUUUUAGUCUCAGCUGGGAGUGCGGUGGGUUCUGAAGUCAGAGCUAAAGCAGAGGAGACACAGCCUUGCCCUGCUCUCAGGAACCCACGGGGGGUGGCAGACGCCGUGGGGCCUGCGUGGCGCCUGAAGGCCGGGUGCUGAGGUAGUGCGUGCGGCGUCUGGAGCCCCUCUGUCUGGCUCCAGGACAGAGCCCUGAGAACCUCGGGGGCAGAUGGGGAAGGGGCGGGGGGGCAACUCGGGCCUCGGAGAGGCUGUUCUGGUCAAGCUGCUGAAGGAGCUCAAAGCUGCACUUGGCCACGCGGGGGGCUGGGGGAGGUCGGCCCAGCCGGCUGCCCCCGCCCAUCCCCUGACAGCCUCUCAGGCCCCGGGGGCAGCCAGGCCCUGCUGAAAAGAUGGUCACUCGGCAGCUUUCCUAAGCCUGCAGAGAUCCUGAGAGAUUUAGGAAAAACAGCACAGAGAAAGCAGGAAUCACUGUUCUAGGUGACAGCACGGUUUGAGGGCCAUCUCUAGAAAUAUGUUUGUUUCUGAGGGUUCUGCUGCUGCAGCUGUGGCCAGAGUCAAGGGAAGGCGAGUGGGGGGGGGGCAGCGAGGACCGGGGCGGCGGGGGGUGGGGGGUGGCAUGGCGAAAGGACAAAGACGCCUCUCAAAGACAAGGUGCGAGUUAGAGGACGAGCCUUGCUCGCCUUCCCACUUUGUCACUAACCUGCUCGCCCAACCUCCUGUCUGCAAGAAGCUUUGCGGACUGGGACCCCUCUCCUGGCACCAAGCAGGACUCCUCUCGCUGACACCGAGACCCUGGCAGUCCCGGGCGCUGGGGGCCACCGAGGGGAUGGCCCUCGGAGCUGAGCCCAGCGCUGCAGGGCCCGUUGUCUUACCAGGCAACUCUCGGUGACAGUUCUGAAGCUGAUGGACACGUCCUGCCUCUACAGCUUUUGUCUGGUGGCCUGAGCGAGGCGCUCUGCUCGUCCCGAGGGCCGGAGCCUGGCCGCCAACCCAGCUGCCAUCCUCCAGGUGGCCUCGAGGCUGGCUCAGCCUCUCUGGCGGAGGUGCGGGGCCCGGGGGCCCGGCGUGCGCGAAGCUGCAGAGCCACCUUUCUGGCUCCCGCCCCCACGCAGACCAGGGCACCGGGCUUGGGUGAAGCGGUUGGCUCAUGUUCACAUGAUCCGCGAUUCCCGCCUGCCCCGCUCUUUCUCUCCCCUUCACAUGGGAACCAUCUUCUCUGAACCUGGACAUGAGGCUACACUUAGCCACGUGAUUAGACUCUAAAAAGCACUGCAGAGCCUGGCACCCAGCACUGAAUUCCGCCACCACUUUCCUCUGCUGUCUGUAUUUUUACACAAGUUACUAAUGAAAACGUUAAAAACAGACACUGCUCGAGUGGCUCCACCGACGACGCCAAGGCUGCGAUCGGGUCAGCGCUGCCCGGUACUUCUCAGCCCUCUCACGUCUGCUUCUACUUCCUUUUCUCAAUCACAAAAAUACCAGGAAUGACUUUAUCAAAUGUCUAACUGAAAUCAAGAUAAGCUGGGUAUGUCACGUACCUGCUAAAUCCGCCAGUCUGUGAUCUGAACUGGAGAGGAAGGGAUUUUAUAAAAGGAUUAACCAGUUCACUUUGGGGAUCAGUUUCUUAAAUAACCCUUCUUUAUCUGAAGGUACAGAAAUUACACACACAUACAACAUAAAGUUUGUUUUUAAGUUUCACAUAACAUUCAAGCUCAGGAGUUCCCUUCAUGGCUCAAUGGUUAACAAACCCGACUAGGAUGCGUGAGGAUGGGAGUUUGCUCCCCGGCUUCGCUCAGUGGGUUAAGGAUCUGGCACUGCCAUGAGCUGUGGUGUAGGUUGCACAUGUGGCUCAGAUCCCGCGUUGCUGUGGCUGUGGUGUAGGCCAAUAACUAUAGCUCCGAUUCGGCCUCUCGCCUGGGAACUUCCAGGUGUCAUGUGAGGUGGCUCUAAAAAGCAAAAAAAGCAAAAAAACCAAAAAACAUCCAAGCUCAGAAAGCAUCGUUUAGGUCUACUGAUCUCAAACAGAGGUCUUAAAAUAUCCUUAUCUGACCAAUGAAGACAACUACCUUUGAUAUUUCAAGGAAAGAAGAAAAUUCCAACUUCAGGAAAGAGUUUUAAAUAUUAGAGUACUUCAUUAGGCAAAUCCUGAAAUAAGAGAUAUUUAUGACCACUCUAAACAUUCUAAACAUGUAUUUUGGGGUUUCUACUCUCUAGAGUUAUUGUGAAUUUAGGUAUUGGAGAAGCAGAGCAGAAUCACGGAUCCAGAAAUUAACUAAAUUUGUAAAAGCAAAUGCACACAUACUAGUGGACCCUGGGGUGGCAGACAGGAGAAUGACAGGGCGCUGAGGCCAGAGUGGCUGGGGGCAGGCAGUGCGGGCCCCAAAGCUGCUGACGGCAUACGUCACUCCAGGCUGGUGGGUGGCAGCAGCAGCCACGGUCUUUAGUGGCCCAGUUCUCACCUUCCUCACUCUGCUGCCCCCUCUCAGCAAGCCUGGCAGGGAAACACCUGUUACCUGCUUGUACAGGGAAGAGCUGGAGCCUCAGGGUCAAAGGGCUUCCAAGCUCACAGAGCAGUCGGCGUCUUCAAGCCCACGUGCACCUGCAGCGAGACCCACGGGUGCUCAUGACCACUGGGCUCGCCUGGGACAGGACACGGCCCAUUUACAGACACUGUCCUCAAAAAUAACUAAAAUGGGAAAGCUGGGGCUUUCGACGGGUGAGCCUCGUUUCUCAGGAAACCACUCGGGGGGAUCCCCCGUGACUGAUGCUGGACGUGCUGCCACCCGAGGAGAACUUAGCUGAACUCUGCCGUCGGCAGCAAGCCCUUUCGUCUAAAAAGCGCGAGCAUAAAUGUGAUCUCUCAUUCAUGCACAGGGGCAGUUAAGGUUUUAGAUUUUACCCAGUAUGGAAGUUACGCCUCGUACACUAAGUUUUCAGGAAGGGGCAUAUCUCUUUUGAUCAUGAGUGGUACCGGGUAAUUCCUAGAAGAAAUCACCCCCAGGAGGGGUCUGUCUAUAAGAACUGAUGCCCCCACAGCUGCCCCUAACUUACCCACCAGCUAAGCUGACACAUGCGGGGCGGACAGCGCCCACGUGUGCCCUGUAGAGGCGCUGCAGGGGGAAGCUGGGGACGCUCCACGGACACAAACCGAAGCUGAUAGCUUGUGAUGGCAAGUAUACUUCGAUACUGUGUUGUUCGGUCACCUCAAACCUGCACUUUGGGAACAUGCCAGUGUUUCCUUUUCAAACCCCAGGUUGUGAGAACUAAAAGAGGACAGGAGCUUUGUGAUGAGCCCU